rnacentral:rRNA from 1 species
AGAGUUUGAUCAUGGCUCAGGAUGAACGCUAGCUACAGGCUUAACACAUGCAAGUCGAGGGGAAACGAUAUUGGAAGCUUGCUUCCGAUAGGCGUCGACCGGCGCACGGGUGGGUAACGCGUAUCCAACCUGCCCACCACUUGGGGAUAACCUUGCGAAAGUAAGACUAAUACCCAAUGAUAUCUCUAGAAGACAUCUGAAAGAGAUUAAAGAUUUAUCGGUGAUGGAUGGGGAUGCGUCUGAUUAGCUUGUUGGCGGGGUAACGCCACCAAGGCGACGAUCAGUAGGGGUUCUGAGAGGAAGGUCCCCCANAUUGGAACUGAGACACGGUCCAAACUCCUACGGGAGGCA